CAACGUGAGCAACCUGCCUCAGAGACCGGGAUAACAGCGGGAAACCGCUGCUAAUACCGGAUGUCCCCACCGGGUCGCAUGGCCUGGUGAGGAAAUGGAUUCCGCUCUGAGAGGGGCUCGCGGGCUAUCAGCUUGUUGGUGGGGUAACGGCCUACCAAGGCGACGACGGCUAGCUGGUCUGAGAGGACGACCAGCCACACUGGGACUGAGACACGGCCCAG
rnacentral:rRNA from 1 species